rnacentral:rRNA from 1 species
GUAGGGAAUAUUGGGCAAUGGAGGCAACUCUGACGCAGCCAUGCCGCGUGCAGGAAGAAGGCGCUACGCGUUGUAAACUGCUUUUAACCGGGAAGAAACCCCAGGACGUGUCCUGGGUUGACGGUACCGGAGGAAUAAGCACCGGCUAACUUCGUGCCAGCAGCCGCGGUAAUACGAAGGGUGCAAGCGUUAUCCGGAUUCAUUGGGUUUAAAGGGUGCGUAGGCGGAGCGUUAAGUCAGUGGUGAAAUCCUGCAGCUUAACUGUAGACUUGCCAUUGAUACUGGCGCUCUUGAGUGCGCUUGAAGUGGGCGGAAUGUGCCGUGUAGCGGUGAAAUGCUUAGAUAUGGCACAGAACACCAAUUGCGAAGGCAGCUCACUAAGGCGAUACUGACGCUGAGGCACGAAAGCGUGGGGAUCGAACAGGAUUAGAUACCCGAGUAGUCC